rnacentral:lncRNA from 1 species
GGACAAGAAGAGCCUCUUCCCCAGGUAGGAAUUGGUCCUGGGUGACAUCUCACCGAGCUCUAGGACAUAGCAUCCAUGGCCCUGGGGUGACCAAUUUUCAUAGCACAUAGGUAGCAGAGUGACUCUGGUCAUUAUAAUGUCCGAUGCUUCCCAUUUCAGACAUGGUGAUAGAGACCGGAUCCAGAGGCACACAGGUUUGAUGAUAUCCCUGGUGACAGACAGAAGCAUGGUCUCCUGGUCCCUGAUUCAGGAACAUUUCCAAUUCCAAUGCCCAGAGGUCAAUUGAGCACAAAGAAGAAAUGCAGGUGCCGAUGGGCUUGAGCUACAGAGAACAUGGGGCCAAAACUUCAUUGUUUCAAGGAAAACAAAGUCUUAGAAGGAAAUAGGUGUCAAAAGUCCCCUGAUUUGACACCUUUCUGAGAAAUAUGAAAUGGAAAAAAAAACCUAUAACUCUUUGGGGUAUUUCUUUUUAUUUGGCCCAGUGAUGUGAAGCAGAAAUCCUCCUUUUCAAUCUCCUCUGAGCCGUGACUGUAAGUGAAAGCCGUGUGAGCUAUUCCUCCCAGCUCCUUCCCGCCACGGUUCAAGGGGCUCAGUGCCGACCAGGAACGGCCCUCCUACCCUCUGGAGGCAGUCAGGGCAGGAGAAUAAGGACCCCAGCUCUUCGGUGACUGGCGCAUCCUGUUGAAUGGCAGUCGCCUUGCUUUGCGUAGAAAUUAUCAGAAAGGCUUCAGUGGUGUCCCAGCUUUGAACCUGCAAACUGGGGUUAGUGUCAUGGUCACCUGAGGUGUCCAUCACCCUGUUUCUAGGUGGACUCCCCUUCUUUUAUUAGGGAUGCGAUGACAGACACAGAGCUCUAGGAAUGAAGCUUUUGGACACGCAAACUGGCCACUUCAUGUAUAAGGAGUGGCUAAAGGUGUUAUUAGGAAAAUGUGCUGGAGAUUUUGUCCGUUUCUUUAUUGCCUGUAAUAACAAGGAUUUUUAAAAGAAUCAUAAAACGUUAUUAUUUGCAUAUUGGCAACAAAUGGGCUUUAAAAAUCCCCAAAAGCCAUGCAAGUUACUAAAAGUAAACUAAAUGCCAAAAGGAUUGUCUUAUUUCCUCACAGUGUUUGUUAAAAAUGGAUUUUAAUGCUUUCAAGAGAGACGCUCACUGUCGGGGUGCCACAGGCCACUCCCCCUUGCUGCCAGCAGCGCCUGCCUGGGCUGCUGCUCUCCCUCAGCCUCCCUGGGCGCUCUGUCCCCUGCACUGCACAGCAGGCGGGACUCCAGGCAGCCGGGCUCAUGGCUCAGGUCCUGCUCUGGUUUCUGCUGCUAAAAGUCGAGUGGCACAUUUACCAGCUCUGGGUUUGUUUGUUCUCCCAACCCACUUAUAAAUUCACUUUUUUUUUGGUAAUUACAUAAUUUAAAUGGACUGCAUAUAAACUGAUGGUGUAUGGGUACAAAGAGGUGAAAGAAUUAUUGUUUCUACAGCACCUGAUUGGAAUACCUGGGAAAU